rnacentral:rRNA from 1 species
AACGAACGCUGGCGGCAUGCCUAACACAUGCAAGUCGAACGAAGUCCUUCGGGGCUUAGUGGCGCACGGGUGCGUAACGCGUGGGAAUCUGCCCCUUGCUUCGGAAUAACAGUUAGAAAUGACUGCUAAUACCGGAUGAUGUCGCAAGACCAAAGAUUUAUCGGCAAGGGAUGAGCCCGCGUAGGAUUAGGUAGUUGGUGGGGUAAAGGCCUACCAAGCCGACGAUCCUUAGCUGGUCUGAGAGGAUGAUCAGCCACACUGGGACUGAGACACGGCCCAGACUCCUACGGGAGGCAGCAGUGGGGAAUAUUGGACAAUGGACGCAAGUCUGAUCCAGCAAUGCCGCGUGAGUGAUGAAGGCCUUAGGGUUGUAAAGCUCUUUUACCCGGGAUGAUAAUGACAGUACCGGGAGAAUAAGCUCCGGCUAACUCCGUGCCAGCCGCCGCGGUAAUAC